rnacentral:tRNA from 1 species
AUUUAUAUAGUUUAAAAAAAACAUUACAUUUUCAUUGUAAAAUUAAAUAAUUCUUUAUAAAUA